AUGAAGCUACUGCACCAACUCGGGGCCCCAAGAGUCAUGCUCAAACUUGACCUCACGCGAGCCUUCGACUCCCUAUCUUGGCACUUCCUCUUCGAGGUGCUGGACCGAUACGGGUUCGGGCCUCGGUUCCGGGAGUGGCUUGCGAUACUGCUUUCGACCUCGAGCACCAGGGUCAUGCUGAACGGCGAGCCAGGGCCGCCGAUUUGGCACCGAUGCGGACUGCGACAGGGCGACCCCGUGUCGCCAUAG
rnacentral:rRNA from 1 species